GAAUCAGUACGGUGUAGUGGUUUGAACAUUGGACUAGGACUCUGAAGACCAAAGUUCAAAUCUCCACUGGGUCA